rnacentral:lncRNA from 1 species
GAUAUAGAUAGAUAGAUUAGAUAUGAUAGAUGACACUAGCUGAAGUGCAACCUUCAAUACCAUGUCAUGUUACAAGUUAUUUCAAAUGCUAGAAAAUAAUUUAUUGCACAAUUAGAAAAACUACAUAACUAUUAGAGCACAAUUAAAAAAUUAAAUGAAAAUAAAAGCAAAAGUUUAUUUUAUAGUUGCAACCUUAGCUAGGUUAUCUCUUCAACAUAAGUUGCCUCUGCCAUAUCUCCGUCGUAUGAUUCUACUAACAAUGAUCAACAACCAAGACCAAAAUACAGUAAUACUGACAAUUUCCCAAACCUGAAUCGAAUAAAAAAGCACGAUAUUAAGCAAAUUGGAAAUAGAAAUCCGAAAAUUAAAAGAGUUCAAGCUAAGAAAGUACCAAAAAAUCAAAGAAAAGUAUCAAGUUAAAAAUGAUAAUCUGAAAUUAGGGUUCAGGAUUGGGCAAAUUUAUCCAAUUGUGAAUCAAAAGUACGAGAAAUGCAC